rnacentral:rRNA from 1 species
GACGAACGCUGGCGGCGUGCUUAACACAUGCAAGUCGAACGCUGAAGCCUAGCUUGCUGGGUGGAUGAGUGGCGAACGGGUGAGUAACACGUGAGUAACCUGCCCUCUUCUUUGGGAUAACGCCCGGAAACGGGUGCUAAUACUGGAUAUUCACUGAUCUUCGCAUGGGGGUUGGUGGAAAGGUUUUUUCUGGUGGGGGAUGGGCUCGCGGCCUAUCAGCUUGUUGGUGGGGUGAUGGCCUACCAAGGCUUUGACGGGUAGCCGGCCUGAGAGGGUGACCGGUCACAUUGGGACUGGGAUACGGCCCAGACUCCUACGGGAGGCAGCAGUGGGGAAUAUUGCACAAUGGGCGAAAGCCUGAUGCAGCGACGCCGCGUGAGGGAUGGAGGCCUUCGGGUUGUAAACCUCUUUCGCUCAUGGUCAAGCCGCAACUUAGGGUUGUGGUGAGGGUAGUGGGUAAAGAAGCGCCGGCUAACUACGUGCCAGCAGCCGCGGUAAUACGUAGGGCGCGAGCGUUGUCCGGAAUUAUUGGGCGUAAAGGGCUUGUAGGCGGUUGGUCGCGUCUGCCGUGAAAUCCUCUGGCUUAACUGGGGGCGUGCGGUGGGUACGGGCUGACUUGAGUGCGGUAGGGGAGACUGGAACUCCUGGUGUAGCGGUGGAAUGCGCAGAUAUCAGGAAGAACACCGGUGGCGAAGGCGGGUCUCUGGGCCGUUACUGACGCUGAGGAGCGAAAGCGUGGGGAGCGAACAGG